UACGUAGGGUGCAAGCGUUAAUCGGAAUUACUGGGCGUAAAGCGUGCGCAGGCGGUUUUUGUAAGUCAGAUGUGAAAUCCCCCCGGCUUAACCUGGGAACUGCGUCUGAUACUGGACGGCUAGAGUAUGGGGAGAGGAACGUAGAAUUCCAGGUGUAGCGGUGAAAAUGCGUAGAUAUCUGGAGGAAUACCGGUGGCGAAGGCGGCGUUCUGGACCAUUACUGACACUGAAUCGCGAAAAGCUAGGGGGAGCAAAACGGG
rnacentral:rRNA from 1 species